GGCGGCGUAGCUCAGUUGGUUAGAGCGGGGGAUUCAUAAGCCCUAGGUCACUGGUUCGAGUCCAGUCGCCGCUACCA
rnacentral:tRNA from 1 species